rnacentral:lncRNA from 1 species
AAGAAGUCAGGCCGGAUUAAGCCAUAGUACGGUAAGAGCUAUGCUGCCUGUGAGCCCCGUCUAAGGACGUAAAAUGAAGUCAGGCCGAAAGCCACGGUUUGAGCAAACCGUGCUGCCUGUAGCUCCAUCGUGGGGAUGUAAAAACCUGGGAGGCUGCAACCCAUGGAAGCUGUACGCAUGGGGUAGCAGACUAGUG